GAACCGUCCAAACGUUAUUCGGAAUCAUUGGGCUUAAAGGGUGCGUAGGCGGUGCGGUCAGUUGGGUGUGAAAUCCCUCGGCUCAACCGAGGAACUGCGCCCAAUACUGCCGCGCUCGAGGGAGACAGAGGUAAGCGGAACUGAUGGUGGAGCGGUGAAAUGCGUUGAUAUCAUCAGGAACACCAGUGGCGAAGGCGGCUUACUGGGUCUCUUCUGACGCUGAGGCACGAAAGCUAGGGGGAGCGAACGGGAUUAGAUACCCCGGUAGUCCUAGCUGUAAACGAUGAGCACUUGAUCGGAGGCUCCUCCCAUAGGUUUCCGGUCGUAGCGAAAGUGUUAAGUGCCCCCGCCUGGGGAUAUGGUCGCAAGGCUG
rnacentral:rRNA from 1 species